rnacentral:guide_RNA from 1 species
ACAAACUCACUAUAUAGAGACUGUAAGAGAUGAUAUA